AUUAAAGGAGCGAUCCGGCUGCGGAUGGUCAUGCGGCGCAUUAGCUAGUUGGCGGGGUAUCGGCCCACCAAGGCGACGAUGCGUAGGGGUUCUGAGAGGAAGGUCCCCCACACUGGUACUGAGACACGGACCAGACUCCUACGGGAGGCAGCAGUGAGGAAUAUUGGUCAAUGGCCGGGAGGCUGAACCAGCCAAGUCGCGUGAGGGAAGACGGCCCUACGGGUUGUAAACCUCUUUUGCCGGGGAGCAAAUGGCGGGACGCGUCCCGCGUCGAGAGUACCCGGAGAAAAAGCAUCGGCUAACUCCGUGCCAGCAGCCGCGGUAAUACGGAGGAUGCGAGCGUUAUCCGGAUUUAUUGGGUUUAAAGGGUGCGCAGGCGGGAUGUCAAGUCAGCGGUAAAAUCGGGAGGCUCAACCUCUCUCAGCCGUUGAAACUGGCGUUCUUGAGUGGGCGAGAAGUAUGCGGAAUGCGUGGUGUAGCGGUGAAAUGCAUAGAUAUCACGCAGAACCCCGAUUGCGAAGGCAGCAUACCGGCGCCCGACUGACGCUCAUGCACGAAAGCGUGGGUAUCGAACAGGAUUAGAUACCCUGGUAGUCCACGCAGUAAACGAUGAAUAAUCGGUGUGCGGC
rnacentral:rRNA from 1 species